rnacentral:sRNA from 1 species
GUUUUGCACAAGGGAUAGUAGCGAAAAUCCUUUUUUAUCUCGUUUUUAGGACGAGACUAAAAAGAUUGAAGCGAAUAGCCCGACCCGCU